CAUACAUUCCACGUUAAAGUGGUUUGCGUUAUAAUCGAAAUAUUUCGGUUACUUUAUAUUCCUAUGCAUGACUUCUUAACACUUCGAUACUUUCACACGCAACGUCACAAAGAAUAUAAUUCUCAAGUUCGAUUUCGUCAUUCAAUAAGUAUACCCUUUAGAAUUCAACGAACAUAAUUUUCUCGCGAAAACUAGAUGUCACUGUAAGAUAAUAUAUUUUCCCUCGUUCUAUAUACUAUGGGUUUCUCAAAAAGAAAAAAAAAAAAAAAAAAAGGUACACGAGAAUAUAUUUUCUGAAUGAAAAAUAUGAUUAUAUAAAAGCUGAGACGUGAAUCGAGGAAUAGCUUUAUCGAGAUUGCAAAAUAUUGAGUAUCCCAUAUCUAAAAUUAGUAACUACAGUGGAGAGAAAGAGUAGCAGAAGAAACUAGCUUCAAUCACGUGCCCGUUUCCCUACGGUCAAUGGCUGUCGAAGGCUUUCGACUAUUUAUCGAUGGAUACGAACGUCAUCGCGCAUCGACUAUACCUUGUGACCGAAUUAUUAAUUAUUAAUCGAGAAAAAAAGAUUGAAACAGAAGAGAAAAUAAAGAAAAAAGUAGAAAGUAGAAGUUAAUAGGAAACAAAAGGAAGAACGAGAGUAAAAAGGAUACACCUUUAUGGCGCCGGAUGCCGUGCCAAUGAUCAUCAACCGCAAACUCGGAUCCCAUGCGAGGGCUGUGGGCUUAUUUGGGAAUCCAUGUUGCACCGUCUGCAAACAACAGGAAAUGAUUGUUAUUAGUCAGAGUAAUUACAACUAUUAACGGAAUCAAUGAUCAAUCAGAGUAAUGAAUUAGAAUAAGGACAUGCAAUAAACAAAAAUGUUAUAUGUAACAAAUUUAUAAACAAGUCAUCAGGAUUAUGCCUUGAUGAUGUGUAACAAAAAUGAUGAUAACAGAGAAGGCAGAAAUAUAAGAGAAGUGAAAUAGUAUACAGGACAUCUCAGUUGAAGGAGGUCACCUAAAUAUUCUCUUCGUUUUUAAUAAGAGAAAUUUUUAAAGCACAAUUUGAAUGAUUUAAAAAGAAAAAUA